GGAGAGACAUAUCGAUGCGUGGUUGCCUCUGUGAGUCCCCUGCUGGGAACUGGCCUGCAACCCGGGCAUGUGCCCUGACUGGGAAUCAAACCGUGAUUGUGUGGUUCGCAGUCCCAUGUUCAAUCCACUGAGCUACACCAGCCAGCUCCAAGAAACUUCAUUCAUGGAAACAAGCAAUGGGACUGGAUGAAAUUUUAUAGACAGUGGCAGAGCAGCCCCUCUCCGAGACACCCAGUUUCGCAGCAGAGAAAAAGCAGACGUGGAGAACAUGAGCAGUCUCUUAACACUUCUGCUCCGAAGGAGCAGGCAUCGCUGAGUCCACUUCUCAUUGGAAAAUAGGCUACAAGGGGAACAAAACAAAGGCAUCAAAAGAGACAAUUUACCACAAGCAAGACUGCACUUCCAGUUUGCCAGAACUCUCUGACUCUGCGCGUAGAUGGAAAGAUCACUUCUGUUGCAGAGAGAAGCCUUCUGGACACACGUCACAAAAGAUGUCUCACAAAGAAAAAAAGACAGCUUUUCUUGUUGCUCAUAAAAGUUCAGCAGGCAUAAACUCUGAA